rnacentral:rRNA from 1 species
AGUGAACGCUGGCGGUAGGCCUAACACAUGCAAGUCGAACGGCAGCACAGGAGAGCUUGCUCUCUGGGUGGCGAGUGGCGGACGGGUGAGGAAUACAUCGGAAUCUACUCUGUCGUGGGGGAUGACGUAGGGAAACUUACGCUAAUACCGCAUACGACCUACGGGUGAAAGCAGGGGAUCUUCGGACCUUGCGCGAUUGAAUGAGCCGAGGUCGGAUUAGCUAGUUGGCGGGGUAAAGGCCCACCAAGGCGACGAUCCGUAGCUGGUCUGAGAGGAUGAUCAGCCACACUGGAACUGAGACACGGUCCAGACUCCUACGGGAGGCAGCAGUGGGGAAUAUUGGACAAUGGGCGCAAGCCUGAUCCAGCCAUACCGCGUGGGUGAAGAAGGCCUUCGGGUUGUAAAGCCCUUUUGUUGGGAAAGAAAUCCAGCUGGCUAAUACCCGGUUGGGAUGACGGUACCCAAAGAAUAAGCACCGGCUAACUUCGUGCCAGCCGCCGCGGUAA